AAGGCAGGUCGGGUGAAGAAGAGCAGGAUGUUUCAUUUUUAUCAAGCAUCACCUGAUUCAAAAUGUAGCCACUGAAAAGAAGCCAUCGUUUUUGGCCUGCGUCUCUGAGGAUAAGAUAGUGCGUGGGUGAUGGAUGCAGCCCAGAUCAGCUAUGAAAAUACCCAGCCGGCCUGCAGCCCUCCCGGCAGAUGCUGAAAAGGAAACCCGACUGGGAGAUGCCGCCCACCCUUAUCCCCAGAGAGCUGCGUUGUUUCCUCUUGCCUUGGCCUUUGGAUCCGGCCAUAGCAAGCAUCCCUGGGCACCUGGCUGAAGCUGGAAACUCGGGAUAAGAAUGGAAGCCCUGGAAGGGAAGAAGAACCGAGGAGAGGACAGCACAUUGCACUCUCACCUCCUUUGCAGUUAAGUGUGAAAUAGUGCCAAUAGAGUGUAAAAGAAAAGAAAGAAGAUGAUUCACCUCCCAAAGAUUCCCCACUGCUGUGUCCCUUCUAUCAACUUGAUACAAAAAAACACAAUGGCCCCGGGAACCACGUGUUGAAGAUGAGAGAGCUAAAAGAUGGAAAGAGACUGGAGCCCUGAGUCACCACCUGGAGGAAAACUACCCACCCAUCAGGAAUUUCUACUACACAUUUGGGAG
rnacentral:lncRNA from 1 species